UGGUCUGGUGCUGUCUGCUAUGGUCUGUCUGGUCUGGUGCUGUCUGCUAUGGUCUGUCUGGCCAGGUACUGUCUGCUAUGGUCUGUCUGGUCUGGUGCUUUCUGCUAUGGUCUGUCUGGCCAGGUGCUCUCUGGUCUGGUGCUGUCUGCUAUGGUCUGUCUGGUCUGGUGCUGUCUGCUAUGGUCUGUCUGGUCUGGUGCUGUCUGCUAUGGUCUGUCUGGUCUGGUGCUGUCUGCUAUGGUCUGUCUGGCCAGGUGCUGUCUUGUCUGGUGCUGUCUGCUAUGGUCUGUCUGGUCUGGUGCUGUCUGCUAUGGUCUGUCUGGCCAGGUGCUGUCUGCUAUGGUCUGUCUGGUCUGGUACUGUCUGCUAUGGUAUGUCUGGUCUGGUGCUGUCUGCUAUGGUCUGUCUGGUCUGGUGCUGUCUGCUAUGGUCUGUCUAGUCUGGUGCUGUCUGCUAUUGUCUGCCUGGCUUGUUGCUGUCUGCUAUGGUCUGUCUGGUCUGGUGCUGUCUGCUAUGGUCUGUCUGGUCUGGUGCUGUCUGCUAUGGUCUGGGUCUGUCUGCUAUUGUCUGUCUGGUCUCGUGCUGUCUGCUAUGGUCUGUCUGGUCUGGUGCUGUCUGCUAUGGUCUGUCUGGCCA
ensembl:lncRNA